ACGCGUGCAUGCUCGUGCGGCUCCUGGGACACGCGGGCUACCACAUGAGCCCACGAUAGCAUGCGGCGGAACGCAGGCAGCUGCGUCAGCCCGCGACAAGCUGCCCCACUUGCAAGCCUGGAUUCGAUGGAAAAGAGUUGGCACGUGACGAGAGAAAGAGCGUGGCUACAAAAGAUUGAUUAAAGAACCGACCAGAUUUUUCUUUACAUGUAGUACAGAUUGCUUGUGUUUCCCUUUCCGGUCAUGUACCGGUAGGCAAAUAAAUAAUAAUAAUAAUAGCAUGUACAAUGCAAAUGAGAAUGAAAAUAAGGGGUCCAAUAUUUACACAUGCAAGCUUUAUCUUUGUACUUUUGUAGCGUUGAUACUACAAACCUUCCUUAGAUAUGGCUACCUUCAAGUAUCGUUUAUAUUACUAUGGAUUGGUCAUAAUUUUUAGCAUGCCAGCGCUUUGGUGUCUGUAAAUCUUUGUACAAGUCUCUUC
rnacentral:lncRNA from 1 species